rnacentral:lncRNA from 1 species
ACAACUGAGGAUGGUCAAAGGGACAUGGUGGGGUAGCACCGGCAUCUGCUGCAGUGUUUCCUCCAACAGCAAUCAGAUCAUUCUCAAGAUAGAUCUGAAAGAGGAGGAGGCAAAAAGAUGAGAGGAACUAGAGGAAGCUGAGGACUGAGAUGGGAGGAGAGGCAGAAGAGACAGCACCACAGACAGGGAGGGCUGGGGAGGAU